ACACGUACCUGGCAGGGGAGAUACCAUGAUCACGAAGGUGGUUUUCCCAGGGUGAGGCUCAUCCAUUGCACUGCGGGUGUGCUGACCCCUGUGAUUUCCCCAAAUGCGGGAAACUCAACUGCAUAAUUUGUGGCAGUGGGGGACUGCGUCUGCGCUUUCCCCUG
rnacentral:snRNA from 1 species